GUACGGGAGGCAGCAGUGAGGAAUAUUGGUCAAUGGGCGCGAGCCUGAACCAGCCAUCCCGCGUGCAGGAAGAAUGCCCUAUGGGUUGUAAACUGCUUUUGCGCAUGAAGAACGAUGCCCUCGUGAGGGUAUGUGACGGUAAUGCGUGAAUAAGCACCGGCUAACUCCGUGCCAGCAGCCGCGGUAAUACGGAGGGUGCAAGCGUUAUCCGGAUUUAUUGGGUUUAAAGGGUGCGUAGGCGGUACUUUAAGUCAGUAGAGUGAAAUCCUGCAGCUCAACUGUAGAAUUGCCAUUGAAACUGAAGUACUUGAGUUAUCUUGAGGUAGGCGGAAUGUGUAGUGUAGCGGUGAAAUGCUUAGAUAUUACACAGAACACCCAUUGCGAAGGCAGCUUACUAAGGAUAAACUGACGCUGAGGCACGAAAGCGUGGGGAUCGAACAGGAUUAGAUACCCUGGUAGA
rnacentral:rRNA from 1 species